GACGAACGCUGGCGGCGUGCUUAACACAUGCAAGUCGAACGGAAAGGCCCUGCUUUUGUGGGGUGCCCGAGUGGCGAACGGGUGAGUAACACGUGAGUAACCUGCCCUUGACUUUGGGAUAACUUCAGGAAACUGGGGCUAAUACCGGAUAGGAGCUCCUGCUGCAUGGUGGGGGUUGGAAAGUUUCGGCGGUUGGGGAUGGACUCGCGGCUUAUCAGCUUGUUGGUGGGGUAGUGGCUUACCAAGGCAUUGACGGGUAGCCGGCCUGAGAGGGUGACCGGCCACAUUGGGACUGCGAGACGGCCCAGAGUCCUACGGGGGGCAGCAGUGGGGAAUAUUGCACAAUGGGAGGAAGCCUGAGGCAGCAGCGCCGCGUGCGGGAUGACGGCCUUCGGGUUGUAAACCGCUUUCGCCUGUGACGAAGCGUGAGUGACGGUAAUGGGUAAAGAAGCACCGGCUAACUACGUG
rnacentral:rRNA from 1 species